CGAGCGACAGACGAGGAGCUUGCUCCUCUGACGUUAGCGGCGGACGGGUGAGUAACACGUGGAUAACCUACCUAUAAGACUGGGAUAACUUCGGGAAACCGGAGCUAAUACCGGAUAAUAUAUUGAACCGCAUGGUUCAAUAGUGAAAGACGGUUUUGCUGUCACUUAUAGAUGGAUCCGCGCCGCAUUAGCUAGUUGGUAAGGUAACGGCUUACCAAGGCAACGAUGCGUAGCCGACCUGAGAGGGUGAUCGGCCACACUGGAACUGAGACACGGUCCAGACUCCUACGGGAGGCAGCAGUAGGGAAUCUUCCGCAAUGGGCGAAAGCCUGACGGAGCAACGCCGCGUGAGUGAUGAAGGUCUUCGGAUCGUAAAACUCUGUUAUUAGGGAAGAACAAAUGUGUAAGUAACUAUGCACGUCUUGACGGUACCUAAUCAGAAAGCCACGGCUAACUACGUGCCAGCAGCCGCGGUAAUACGUAGGUGGCAAGCGUUAUCCGGAAUUAUUGGGCGUAAAGCGCGCGUAGGCGGUUUUUUAAGUCUGAUGUGAAAGCCCACGGCUCAACCGUGGAGGGUCAUUGGAAACUGGAAAACUUGAGUGCAGAAGAGGAAAGUGGAAUUCCAUGUGUAGCGGUGAAAUGCGCAGAGAUAUGGAGGAACACCAGUGGCGAAGGCGACUUUCUGGUCUGUAACUGACGCUGAUGUGCAAAAGCGUAGGGAGGAAAAAGA
rnacentral:rRNA from 1 species